rnacentral:tRNA from 1 species
GCGGCCGUCGUAUAACGGUUAUUAUUCCGGACUGUGGAUCCGGGGACGGGGGUUCAAUUCCCCCCGGCCGCC